CCGCGCGCGGGCCCGGGCUCUUUGGGCGG
rnacentral:piRNA from 1 species